UACGUAGGGUGCGAGCGUUAAUCGGAAUUACUGGGCGUAAAAGUGUGCGCAGGCGGCCGAGCAAGUCGAGUGUGAAAAGCCCCCGAGCUUAACUUGGGAACUGCGCUCGAAACUACUUGGCUAGAGUGUGGCAGAGGGAGGUGGAAUUCCACGUGUAGCGGUGAAAUGCGUAGAGAUGUGGAGGAACACCGAUGGCGAAGGCAGCCUCCUGGGCCAACACUGACGCUCAUGCACGAAAGCGUGGGGAGCAAACAGG
rnacentral:rRNA from 1 species